CGCCCAGGACCGCCCUCCACGUGCAGUCUACAACUCUCGGACAUAGUUUUAGACCUCGUCUUUAGUUUCCUGUUUCGCUGCUCUCCUCUAGAAACACGUUACUUAUUAAGAAGAAAUAAGACCACUAUCCGGAUAUUUUGAUGAAAUAAAAGGAGCUAUUUUACACCAUGGGUCUCUUAUGUUUCUGUGCUUUACUAGUAGCGAAGGGGUGGGGUGAGACUAGUGCUUUACAAGAUAUAUAUUCGACGUUGGAUGAAAUUUUGGGUUCUGCAUCUUAUUCUAGUGGUGUACAUGUAUGUUGAUUAUCCUGGUCCCUCUCCCACAUCCCUCAGUCAGAUGUAUGCUGCAUUCAACAUUCAAUAGAGCAAUAUGCAAUGCAUAAUACCUAAGCUAAGGGCCUGCACUGAUCCAUUCACUACUAAUGCAAUGGUAGAGUUAUUUACAAUAUCACAGAAAUGAAGUUUCAUUCUCUCUCACCUCAUGCUAAUUUCUCUCUGUUCCUUGCAGUGGAAGUCAAUCUUAAAAUCCUCAUUAAUCUUUUUGAGAACCUCUCAGAUCCUGAUUUGAUCAGGGCCUUUGCUACCGUACUUGUCAUUAGAAUGUGUGGGGAGCCACAUGAGAGGACCCAGCCCUGGUUUGGUUAUAUGCCAUAUAUUACAAGAGAGACUAGGAUAUGCACCAGUGGUUUGAUUAAAAAGUAUGAGUUUAAUGAGUCUGAUUUGGGAAUGGCUUGUGGUAGGCUGGACACUAAAACAGUGAAAGACUAUACUACCAACUGAUGAGAUAUUCUGGAGUGCUCGUUUCUUUCAGUGUAUUUAUGGUGGACGUAUUGAUGAUGAAUUUGAU